UGGGGAAUAUUGGGCAAUGGGCGAAAGCCUGACCCAGCAACGCCGCGUGAAGGAAGAAGGCCCUCGGGUUGUAAACUUCUUUUGUCAGGGACGAAGCAAGUGACGGUACCUGACGAAUAAGCCACGGCUAACUACGUGCCAGCAGCCGCGGUAAUACGUAGGUGGCAAGCGUUAUCCGGAUUUACUGGGUGUAAAGGGCGUGUAGGCGGGAGUGCAAGUCAGAUGUGAAAACUAUGGGCUCAACCCAUAGCCCGCAUUUGAAACUGUACUUCUUGAGUGAUGGAGAGGCAGGCGGAAUUCCCUGUGUAGCGGUGAAAUGCGUAGAUAUAGGGAGGAACACCAGUGGCGAAGGCGGCCUGCUGGACAUUAACUGACGCUGAGGCGCGAAAGCGUGGGGAGCAAACAGGAUUAGAUACCC
rnacentral:rRNA from 1 species